GCCUAUGGAACACAAACGUCUACAAACUUGUACUUAAAUUGGAUCUUAAAAGUGCACCAAUUACAAAAACAGACCUUCAAACCAUAAAGAGGACUUAAAACCACAAACGUCUACAACAUUACCAUAAACAGACCUUGAAUUAAAAACAUUAAGCAGAAGGUAAACUUCCCCUGUAAAUAAAAACAAACAAAACCCAAAACACACCUUAAUACACAUAUCAUACCAUGGAUAUUUAAUUGAUUAAAACCAACAGGUCUCCCUACGGAGUUUGCGCUGGAAGCAGUACAGC
rnacentral:lncRNA from 1 species